rnacentral:lncRNA from 1 species
CCGGAAGUGUGGAGACACGCCAAAGAAGAAGCGAGGCGGAGGGGCGUGCUCAGUGAGCAUACUGAGAUAAGCUGGAAAGAACGUGCGUAGAUUAGCAAGUCUGACUUAUAAUGUGAUCAAAAGUUGGUACUCAUCUUAUCAAAUCUGACACGAUGGCUAGGCAGUUUCAUUAACACUGGUGUUUCAUUGUUGUUAAUGGCAGAUGGACACUUCAUCUUUUGAGCUCCCUUGUACACUGAAGGUGUUUAAUUUUGGACUAGUUCAGGAUUUUGAUUGUG